GGCCCGCACAAGCGGUGGAGUAUGUGGUUUAAUUCGAUGCAACGCGAAGAACCUUACCAGGGUUUGACAUCCUGCGAAUCUCUUGGAAACGAGAGAGUGCCUUCGGGAGCGCAGUGACAGGUGGUGCAUGGCUGUCGUCAGCUCGUGUCGUGAGAUGUUGGGUUAAGUCCCGCAACGAGCGCAACCCACGUCUUUAGUUGCCAGCAUUUAGUUGGGCACUCUAGAGAGACCGCCGGUGAUAAACCGGAGAAGGUGUGGAUGACGUCAAGUCAUCAUGCCCCUUACAUCUGGGCUACACACGUACUACAAUGCUACGGACAAAGGGCUGCAAGUUUGCGAGGACAAGCAAAUCCCAUAAACCGUGGCUCAGUUCAGA
rnacentral:rRNA from 1 species